GGAAAGUGACAGCAUUCUGUUUUGAUGUCAGUCUCUGGCUUCUGACUUGACAUCCUAAUCAGGUUCAAGGCAUGCAGCCUAGCAAUCUUUUCCUUUGUUUCCUAAUGUUGAUCCUGUUGACUUCUACAGGUUAUACCAAGAAAAAGGGGCUUCCUGUGAAUGAAGAGGAAUGCAAAGCUAUUGAUGGGUUUUGUUCUUCAACUCCUGAAUGCAUCUCACCAUUCCCAUCUCAGGGUUCCUGUGGCAAAGGCAUCUUAUGUUGCUUACCAUUUACUGCAAAUUAAAAUGAAGUCUUGGAAGAGAAGCAUCCUCCAUUUCAUCAGCUUCCAGACUGAUCCACUGCAAUUUUGCUUUAUGAUACUCUGAGAAGGACAUCCUACUUUGCAAAAAGAGAAAGAUCUCAUAGUGUGUUUUUAC